rnacentral:piRNA from 1 species
UGAGAGGAGCCAUUCCAUUGCCUGAACC